UGACGAGUGGCGGACGGGUGAGUAAUGCUUGGGGAUCUGGCUUAUGGAGGGGGAUAACGACGGGAAACUGUCGCUAAUACCGCGUAAUGUCUAAGGACUAGAGGGUGGGACUUUCGGGCCACCUGCCAUAAGAUGAGCCCAAGUGGGAUUAGGUAGUUGGUGGGGUAAAGGCCUACCAAGCCGACGAUCUCUAGCUGGUCUGAGAGGAUGACCAGCCACACUGGAACUGAGACACGGUCCAGACUCCUACGGGAGGCAGCAGUGGGGAAUAUUGCACAAUGGGGGGAACCCUGAUGCAGCCAUGCCGCGUGGAUGAAGAAGGCCUUCGGGUUGUAAAGUUCUUUCGGUGAUGAGGAAGGGUGAUGUUUUAAUAGAGCAUUACAUUGACGUUAGUCACAGAAGAAGCACCGGCUAACUCCGUGCCAGCAGCCGCGGUAAUACGGAGGGUGCGAGCGUUAAUCGGAAUGACUGGGCGUAAAGGGCACGCAGGCGGUGACUUAAGUGAGAUGUGAAAGCCCCGAGCUUAACUUGGGAAUUGCAUUUCAUACUGGGUGGCUAGAGUAUUUUAGGGAGGGGUAGAAUUCCACGUGUAGCGGUGAAAUGCGUAAAGAUGUGGAGGAAUACCG
rnacentral:rRNA from 1 species